GAUGAACGCUGGCGGCGUGCCUAAUACAUGCAAGUCGAGCGAACAGAUGAGGAGCUUGCUCCUCUGACGUUAGCGGCGGACGGGUGAGUAACACGUGGAUAACCUACCUAUAAGACUGGGAUAACUUCGGGAAACCGGAGCUAAUACCGGAUAAUAUAUUGAACCGCAUGGUUCAAUAGUGAAAGACGGUUUUGCUGUCACUUAUAGAUGGAUCCGCGCCGCAUUAGCUAGUUGGUAAGGUAACGGCUUACCAAGGCAACGAUGCGUAGCCGACCUGAGAGGGUGAUCGGCCACACGGGAACUGAGACACGGUCCAGACUCCUACGGGAGGCAGCAGUAGGGAAUCUUCCGCAAUGGGCGAAAGCCUGACGGAGCAACGCCGCGUGAGUGAUGAAGGUCUACGGAUCGUAAAACUCUGUUAUUAGGGAAGAACAAAUGUGUAAGUAACUAUGCACGUCUUGACGGUACCUAAUCAGAAAGCCACGGCUAACUACGUG
rnacentral:rRNA from 1 species